rnacentral:rRNA from 1 species
CGUCAAAUCAUCAUGCCCUUUAUGUCCUGGGCUACACACGUACUACAAUGGGGUGUAACAGAGAGAAGCAAAGCAGUGAUGCAGAGCAAAACUCAAAAAGCAUCCACAGUUCGAAUUGAAGGCUGAAAUUCGCCUUCAUGAAGUUGGAAUUGCUAGUAAUGGCAGGUCAGCAUACUGCCGUGAAUACGUUCCCGGGCCUU